GAUUGAGCUGGGCAGUGGAUCUGAUCGGUUUGCAAGAAGGGGUUGGGCGGCGGUGUCUGAAGAACGGGGAGGCGAAGGUCUGGUAGACGGUGUCUGAAGUACUGUCGUUCUGGUUGGCAGCGGAUAUGGACGACGAUCACACAAAGAAGCAGAGACCGACGAACAGAAGGAGAUUGAGGAUCUGCACGAGCGUGGUAGAUCUGAGUAGGUGCGGCGGCAGAAUGAUUUCUACAACAGGGGUGGAGAUCUAAAUCAUCUUUCUUGCAAUGGUACACGAAGCCGUUAAUCGGCUUUCUACAAGCAUCACAGAGUCAUUUGCAAUGUUUGUGGCAAGCUUUUGGUGGGGUUGUGAGGAAAUUGAAGGUGGAAUUGGGGAAGAAGUCGUGGGAAGUUGAUGGGGUAGUUUCCAUACAGUAUUCAUGGAGAUCGUAAUCACAUUUUUCACAGCGGUAACGAGAACCAAAACCUUGCUCCUUGCAGCCAUCACAAAUGUAUGGUUUUUUGUAGCUUUUGAGCUCAAGUUCAUGCUUGUGGCUUUUGGUACUAAACUUCUUUGUUGCUAUUUCUGGACUGUCUCGUUGAGAAAUCAUUUUCGAUGUGCAGGGGUAAGAAAACACAGAGAGAGUGGAUAUUGGAUAACACUUGAGAUGAAGUUGCAAAUUGUUAAUGUAGGAAUGAUUUUCAUUUGGCCUUGGCUUGACUAUGUAUUUAUAAGAUUACUCGUUAGUGAAGUUUCUGAGUAGUUGAAUUUUAGUUAGUCGGUCAUUUGCAAACAGUUGUAAUUCUUUGAGAAGUUGCAGUUGCACUUCUUUGAGAAGUUGAAAUGACCGCGUGCUUUUUGUAGGGUUCCUUUGCCAGUUGGCUAACUAAACUUUUCCCUGCGGGGAGACUCUACACGUGGCACAAUGAUCAAUCACUAAUCAAAAUUGUUGUAUUGGUAGAGUGAAAUGGGUUUAAAUUGCAAUUGGAAUUAGACUGUUACCUUUUCAA